rnacentral:rRNA from 1 species
GGGGUACUCGAGUGGCGAACGGGUGAGUAACACGUGGGUGAUCUGCCUUGUACUCUGGGAUAAGCUUGGGAAACUGGGUCUAAUACCGGAUARUARCCGCCUUUAGUGUGGUGGUUGGAAAGUUUUUUCGGUGCAAGAUGAGCUCGCGGCCUAUCAGCUUGUUGGUGGGGUAAUGGCCUACCAAGGCGUCGACGGGUAGCCGGCCUGAGAGGGUGUACGGCCACAUUGGGACUGAGAUACGGCCCAGACUCCUACGGGAGGCAGCAGUGGGGAAUAUUGCACAAUGGGCGGAAGCCUGAUGCAGCGACGCCGCGUGGGGGAUGACGGCCUUCGGGUUGUAAACUCCUUUCGACAGGGACGAA